rnacentral:rRNA from 1 species
GGACCUGACUGCUAUCGGAUUGAUUCUAAGCCAUGCGAGUCAUUGUAGCAAUACAAGGCAUACGGCUCAGUAACGCGUAGUCAACCUAACCUAUGGACGGGAAUAACCUCGGGAAACUGAGAAUAAUGCCCGAUAGAACAUUAUGCCUGGAAUGGUUUAUGUUCCAAAUGAUUUAUCGCCGUAGGAUGGGACUGCGGCCUAUCAGUUUGUUGGUGAGGUAAUGGCCCACCAAGACUAUUACAGGUACGGGCUCUGAGAGGAGUAGCCCGGAGAUGGGUACUGAGACACGGACCCAGGCCCUAUGGGGCGCAGCAGGCGAGAAAACUUUGCAAUGUGCGAAAGCACGACAAGGUUAAUCCGAGUGGUUUCUGCUAAAGAAACCUUUUGUCAGUCCUAGAAACACUGAUGAAUAAGGGGUGGGCAAGUUCUGGUGUCAGCC